UACGUAGGGUGCAAGCGUUGUCCGGAAUUAUUGGGCGUAAAGAGCUCGUAGGCGGUCUGUCACGUCGGACGUGAAAAUCCAGGGCUCAACCCUGGACCUGCGUUCGAUACGGGCAGACUAGAGUUCGGUAGGGGAGACUGGAAUUCCUGGUGUAGCGGUGAAAUGCGCAGAUAUCAGGAGGAACACCGGUGGCGAAGGCGGGUCUCUGGGCCGAAACUGACGCUGAGGUGCGAAAGCGUGGGGAGCAAACAGG
rnacentral:rRNA from 1 species